UGUCCUCAUUUUCAAUUAUAUUUGCUAUUUUAAUUGUUGGGUGCUCACAGCCAAUAUGAAAAUAUGAACAUGAAAUGUUUUUUCUACAAAUUUUACUUUUCCUCCACUUUUAGUCAAAGUUUCUAGAGCUAGCAACCCAGUGUCUUGCUAAGGGAGCCGAUUUGGCAAGAGGGAAUGAGAAAGCUGCUUACUGAGCAAACCUUUUAUUAUUGAAUCAUGAUUUAGAACGACACUUGAAAUUGGAAUCUAAAACCUCCAGCUCUUUAUGUUUUCUAAGUUAAGUGGAGUUUAGGCUAACCGGAAAUACAUAUUUAUGGUAUGAUUUAAAUGAUUAUGUGUUUUUGCCGUACGCCAUGUCGGAGUGCAAAAAACCUGGCGACUUUCUGUUUUUGCUGUACGGCAAGUACGGCGCAAAUGACAACUGCCCGCGCACAUUUUUAUCGGUGGUGUUUUGAUUAUAUUAAAUUAAAAUUUUCAAAUCUAAUCUAGAUCAAAUUUUAUUAUUUCAAAAAUAAAUGGAAUUUAAAUUAA